rnacentral:snRNA from 1 species
AUAAAUUAUCUUCUAAGUUAUAUCUGUUCUUAUCAGUUUAAUAUCUGAUGUGUCCUUUAUUUGAGGACUGUAUAUGAAAUUUAUUUUUGAAACAGGGGGAUGGAAUAGGAGCUUGCUCUGUCCACCCCAGGCAUAGACCUGGUAUUGCGGUGUCUCUAGGAAUGGUGCAGCUCCU